rnacentral:rRNA from 1 species
UACGGGGGGGGCAAGCGUUGUUCGGAAUUACUGGGCGUAAAGGGCUCGUAGGCGGCCAACUAAGUCAGACGUGAAAUCCCUCGGCUUAACCGGGGAACUGCAUCUGAUACUGGAUGGCUUGAGUUUGGGAGAGGGAUGCGGAAUUCCAGGUGUAGCGGUGAAAUGCGCAGAUAUCAGGAGGAACACCAGCGGCGAAGGCGGCGCUCUGGGCCGGUACUGACACUGAGGAGCGAAAGCGUGGGUAGCAAACAGGA